rnacentral:rRNA from 1 species
UACGAAGGGUGCAAGCGUUGUUCGGAAUCACUGGGCUUAAAGCGCACGUAGGCGGAAAAGAAAGUGUCUUGUGAAAUCCCCCGACUCAACCGGGGAACUGCUCGGCAAACUUCUUUUCUUGAGACAAGUAGGGGUACAUGGAACUCUAGGUGGAGCGGUGAAAUGCGUAGAUAUCUAGAGGAACGCCAGCGGAGAAAUCGGUGUACUGGGCUUGUACUGACGCUGAGGUGCGAAAGCGUGGGUAGCGAACGGGAUUAGAUACCCCGGUAGUCCACGCUGUAAACGAUGACUACUAGGUCGUGGCGGUUCUAACGCCAUCGCGGCCGAAGCAAAAGUGUUAAGUAGUCCGCCUGGGGAGUACGGUCGCAAGGCUAAA